CACUGCUGAAUAGUCCCAAACAGGACGAAACAGUUGUCCAGCGC
rnacentral:hammerhead_ribozyme from 1 species